CCCAGCCUGCGGCUCCGCGGCUGCCUCGGCGGCGGGUGGACGGCGCCCGGGGCCCCCUGAGCCCGUCAGCCCCGCGGUGGGUUAUGGCCCCAAGUCAGCCCCGCACUGGCGCGGCCUGAAGAAAAGCGCCGGGGGCGUAGCCGGCCGGCCCCGUGGCGGGCGGGGCGACGAACGAGCAGCGGGUUCGGGCCGGGCCGCGACUGACGAGGGCCCUCCGGCCAAUUGUGGCGGCGGCGUGGGAGCCCGACCCGCCCCCGCCUCCGCGCCCCGCGCUGGGCCCGUGGUCGCUCGGUGCCGAGGCUCCUCGUGGAGCGGACAGGAGGUGCCGCCCGCCUGCGCCCCCCUCGUCGGCCGCUUACACACAACCGCGGCUGCGAAUUCCGUCAACACCGUGGGAGUCCCUGUGCUGUCUGUGCAUGGCUUUCCUGAGUACCUACUAUGACAGAGUGAAGAGAUACAGAAGAGGGAUGGGGUCCUUGUCCUUAUGAAGUAUACGGUUUAUCAGGAGACACAUGAGCAAGUCACAACAAGUGGUGCCAUUUGCUGAGAUGGGGACGAUUUGGAGGACAUUGGAUUUGGGAUUAGGAAUGAAGAGUCAACACGGUGUCUAGCAAGAAGUUGGGCAUGUAAUAAACAUUUUGACUCAUGAAUGAAUGAAUAAGACUUUUACUCUACACUGUGGCCCUUGAGCCCCUGGCAAUCACUAUUCUAUCUUCUGUCUCUGUGAAUUAAACUACUCUAGUUGGUGGAAAGUGAGGUGACCUUGGCUGUGUUCUAUCUCUGUUGUUGGCCAUUGGUAUGAAAAAGGAGAAGGAGCUCCUUACUACAAAAGACAAAAAAGACCAGUGUCCCUAUUGGAGACAUCAGGACAGAAGAUUUAAAUACAUCUGUUUACUGAAGACUCCUGAAUUAAUAAGGAAUGCUGACAUAGAAGGAUUGGCUCUUAGAGAGCCCCUCUGACAUGUGGCUCAGGAAUCAAGCUGGAGGUGGCAGGAAAUCUGACCAUUGUGCUGGCCAGGACCGGUUUCCGGGACUGUCAAGGCCAGGGUAGGAGUGGCUGGAACUAAGAUGAGAUAGAUGAGGCACUGAGGGCACACAAUUUAAAGAGACACUCCCUUUCAGGUGCCACCUUGCAUAAACCAGGAGGGAAUACCUCCUAUAAUUUUGCUCCUGGGCACCUCCCUUACCUCACCCCAGUCCAGUCUCUAGCUGGUGCCAGGGUAAAGGGGGGCCUGGCAUCAUGGUUUCUGUGUCUGAGUGAGGGAGACAGUUGUGUGGUGAAGGGCAUACAAGUGUGUGUGUGGCCCACCUCACAAGGAAGAAUGCUCAGGCCAGAGUGUGCACCUGAUGGUCAGGCCCAGUGGAUCCUGACUGUGAUAGGCUCUCAGAUAUCUUCCCCUGGAUGGAAGAUCAGACCUCAGGGUACCAUGCAAGAGAAAGCAUGUUCCUUUCUUCUCUUCACCCACAGAGUAAGCUUGGGUCCAGAAAUGGAAUCCAUGAUACCGUGAAAGGAAAUAUAUUAGUUAUCUAUUGCAACAUAACAAAUUAUCCCAAAACUUAGUGGCUUACAACAACAACAUUUAUUAUUUCACUGUUUCUGUAGGUGAGGAAUCCAGGCACAGCUUACCUGGGUUCUCUGUUUCAGAGUCUUUCACAAGCUGGAAUCAAUAUUUCACCUGCGAAUAGUCAUCUCAAGGCUUGACUGAAGAAAGAUCUUCGUUUUAAGUUUGUUCAUGUGUCUAUUGGCAAGAUUCAGUUUCUCUCUAGCUGUUGACUGAGGCCUCCCUCAGUUCCUUGCCUUGGGCGACUCUCCAACAUGACAGCAUGCAAGCCACCAUGCUGAGAGGGCAGUAGAGAAAGAAAAUGCAAGCAAGAUAGAAGUCAUACGGGAACCCUGGGUGGCGCAGCGGUUUAGCGCCUGCCUUUGGCCCAGGGCGCGAUCCUGGAGACCCGGGAUCGAAUCCCACGUCG